GCUCAUCCAACCAAAACAUGUCUAUUGGAUAAAUAUAGGUGGACCUCCAUUGUCAUUUAGAUUGAUACUAGAUAAUUGAUGCUAAAUAGCAUUAUUCUUAUUUAAUAUAGGGAAGAUGUGUAAAACAGAAUCCUUGGCAAUGGAAAUGCCCUCUUCCCCUAACCAACACAGGGGCUAGCUUGAACUCUUGAAAAAUGCCUGUAUUUUAAGCAUUUUUCAAUAAAAUAGUAUCAAAGAAAAGCGAUUCCAUACUUGCCAAUUGACCAAUUUUCAUUUUCUCUCCCGAAUUUGGUCCAUUGUCUAACUUGCUUAUUCCAGAUAUAUGUUGUCAAACUAUUUAUAAUCAGAGAAAAUUUCGUAAAUAAUGCUGAUUUUCAAAGAUUUAAACAGAAAAUAAGAAUUCAUUCUUUUUCGUGACCAUGGGGACAGCGGUGGUGGUGGUGGU
rnacentral:lncRNA from 1 species